UACAGAGGGGGCAAGCGUUGUUCGGAAUUACUGGGCGUAAAGGGCGCGUAGGCGGCCGCCUAAGUCAGACGUGAAAUCCCUCGGCUCAACCGGGGAACUGCGUCUGAUACUGGGUGGCUUGAAUCCGGGAGAGGGAUGCGGAAUUCCAGGUGUAGCGGUGAAAUGCGUAGAUAUCUGGAGGAACACCGGUGGCGAAGGCGGCCAUCUGGACCGCAACUGACGCUGAGGCGCGAAAGCGUGGGGAGCAAACAGG
rnacentral:rRNA from 1 species